rnacentral:lncRNA from 1 species
CGAGGAGCGCGCUCUCCCCCGGCGCGGGAAAGCUCAGCCUGGGGGGCGCCUCCUGGCACCUGCCGCGGGGACUGCAGGAGACGCCGCUUGAAUCGCCUGCCUUUGCCUUCUCCACCCGCGCCCUUGAAGAAGCAUGGUGAUUUUGGCCAUUCAGUGCCAGCCUGAAAAAAGCACAGAGGAACAGUGGUGUGUGACUUGAGGGCAGAGGCCAAAACACCUCCCCCCCUUCCCAACUGCAGUAGAAAUUCCUUCCUUAGGUAAGAUCCAUGCUGCUAGAGGAGUCCUCAGGGCCACUGCCACAACACUGGAUGUCAGGAUUGAGCACUCCGCAGACCAUACUACAGGCUUCUCCCACAGCUCCUGGUGAAACCUGGUCUCUUAAGUGCUUCAUAUGCUGAGGAUUUCACCUCUGCACAUGCAAAUUGCCCCCUUCCAUCUGAUCAAAACCUUUUAGACUUCAGCCUGGCAUUCCUUCCCUCUGUCAGCCUCCAGUCAACAAGAACUCUGCAUCACCCAUUCACAGAUGCUCAGGAGCAUCACAUGGCUGAAACCAUGAUAGGCCACAGAAUAUGUGAGACCCCUUAUCUCUACUCAUGUGGUUUUGUUGUUUUC